rnacentral:rRNA from 1 species
CGGUGACGGUUCAUCCGGGUGGUACGUGGUCGACGGAGGAGGAGGGGGGCGCAGCAGCUGCAGAGAGCACAGCGCCCGCGCGUGCCGCUAGGUGAGGCGGCGGCGGGCGCGGCUCGCGCACGAGUGGCUGUAAUUUCGGCUGGAGGCUCUACGCCUGCCUAGGUCGCCCGUGUCCUGCGGCAGCGGGUCCUGGAGCUACCUAGCCGUCCAGCUGCGACUUCGCCGGCGAAGGCGGAGCCCAGUCCGCGGCCUGCACUUCGGAGGCGGACUACUCUAGGGACUCCAUUAGGGGAGUCGUCUGCUCCACCCGAACUUCUAUCUUCGGCCCAGUUGAAGAAGUAGAUUGGACAGGAAAGGGGGUCGAAGUCAUCAAUUUGUCAACUAACGUCGGUAACUUCUACCUUUUUCUAAGUCAAGUUACUUACUAUACUUCAAGUCACCACUGGUUAUAGACUUUCUCUUCCCACCGAACUCGAACAGACAACAAUUCAGUGAACAAGCGGCACUUUUCCUCCUUUCUAGAUCAAGACUUAAAAAACCACUGCUACUUUGUUUUAGGAACUACAUGAGCAACAAGUUUAAACGCCUUCUCAACGGGGUGCUGCUUUCAGUCACACGGGGUCUUAAUGAAGUAAGUCGUAGAAACAGGUCCCUAUAGGUACCACGUGGUGGACCUUCGAAACAAGUAGUGAACCCUCUCUAAUAACCGUCGUAAUCAAGACAUGUGUUCUACCGUAAAAAAACCGUUAGACAUCAACAACUCAACUUCUUUGAUACCAGACUACCCGUUGGUCACGGAGCUUACAGUAAUUUACGACGGGGCCUGAACUUAACGACAAAUGAUAUAGUCCUCUACGUUCAAUAUUUAACGACGUAACGGUCCUUUUUUGCUUCUUUUCGUCGUUUCCUCUGUGAACUAAGGAGCGAUUUUGUCCUUACAUAACUAUUGAGUUUAGGGUCCAUAAGUUUACCUCUAAGAGCACUGUCACCCUAAAUGCGUUCGUUAUCGUCACCACUAGUCCAAGAAGCCGAACCACAACUGACACGUAGGCCCUUGAAUUGUGACAAUCUUUGACCACUCGGACAUAUAAGAGGCUAAGACGUCCUUCCGGGAUAAUACUGUCGUCUCGAGUAUUUUCUUUGUCUCCUUGAACAGAAUGCCUGUCCUUCACAACCACGACCGACAAGAGUCGAAAAUAGUCUAUACGUCCGCAAGUUCCGACGUUUGGGCCCUACACAGGAACUUCUAAAGUAAUCCACCGUGAGAGGUGGACUGACCAGACUUCUAGCACGUCGUUCGUUACGUUGUCAUCCCCUCCCGAGUAGAUCUGCACCGUCCGAUUCACUGUCCUACGUUUGUUUUCUUCCUUUAAACACCUUCCUUAACACCCUUCGUCGUUUUGGAUAUGGGCGAUAACUUGUUUGAGGCGAUAUACUACUUCUAAAUCGACACCUCUCGUAUAAACUACGCAACCUUCAAUAACUUGGUCGUUUUGACAAAGUCGUCGAUGAGAGUCAGUAAGAAAGACAUACGAAACAUCGUCGACUUAGUCACGAUGGUCGUCUGUCAUUAGACAGCUUUAAUAAGAUGCUAACAUUUCUGAUGUAGUAACCGUAAAUGGUCCUACUGUACAGUUUUCUUUUCGACCUACUCUAGACGUUCCAAAUACUCUGCUACCUCCGGUAUCAUUGGGUAGGACUUCUGCGAGAAGUCUAGUGCCUCGUUGGACUGCUCUUCAGACGGCUCUUAUUCUUGGCGAAGUUCGAGUUCGACUUAAAGUGGCCGUUUCUAGCGGUCAGAGACACCUUCGCACAUCGGUUCCUACUCUUCUUUUGUAGCGGUUUACUACUCUUUUUUAGUGGCCUUCUUUUCUUAUGUUUAAAAAAGAGCUUGGAAGCGCUUUCCUUCCGGCGGGAUAAAAGCUUUUUCUUGCGUUUUCGAAGUCUCAACGGUAGACGCGGGGGUGGUAGUCGCGACCCAGGUAAACUGCUCUCGCUUACCUGCUAAAACAUCAACUCUGAGCUCCUACAAAGGAAAACAUGUUGAACAUUUCUUCCACGGGGUUCGACAUUUAUGAGUAGGUUAAGUAACUUGUGAAACGUUAUUUGAACUUUUUUUUUUGGCAAAACGAUAA